UACGUAGGGGGCAAGCGUUGUCCGGAUUUAUUGGGCGUAAAGAGCGUGUAGGCGGUUUGGUAGGUCCGCUGUGAAAACUCGAGGCUCAACCUCGAGACGUCGGUUGAAACCGUUUGGCUAGAGUCCGGAAGAGGAGAGUGGAAUUCCCGGUGUAGCGGUGAAAUGCGCAGAUAUCGGGGAAGAACACCCGUGGCGAAGGCGGCUCUCUGGGACGGUACUGACGCUGAGACGCGAAAGCGUGGG
rnacentral:rRNA from 1 species